AGAGUUUGAUCAUGGCUCAGGAUGAACGCUGGCGGCGUGCCUAAUACAUGCAAGUCGAGCGCGAAGAUCAGGAGCUUGCUCCUGAGAUUCGAGCGGCGGACGGGUGAGUAACACGUAGGCAACCUACCCUUGAGAUUGGGAUAACUACCGGAAACGGUAGCUAAUACCGGAUACGACAUUCCUGCAUAAGUAAGAAUGUUAAAAGGCGGAUUUAUCUGCCGCUCAUGGAUGGGCCUGCGGUGCAUUAGCUAGUUGGUGAGAUAGUAGCUCACCAAGGCGACGAUGCAUAGCCGACCUGAGAGGGUGAUCGGCCACACUGGGACUGAGACACGGCCCAGACUCCUACGGGAGGCAGCAGUAGGGAAUCUUCCGCAAUGGACGCAAGUCUGACGGAGCAACGCCGCGUGAGUGAUGAAGGGUUUCGGCUCGUAAAACUCUGUUGUUAAGGAAGAACACUUGAGGUAGUAACUGGCCUUGAGAUGACGGUACUUAACCAGAAAGCCACGGCUAACUACGUGCCAGCAGCCGCGGUAAUACGUAGGUGGCAAGCGUUAUCCGGAAUUAUUGGGCGUAAAGCGCGCGUAGGCGGUAAAAUAAGUCUGAUGUGAAAGCCCCCGGCUCAACCGGGGAGGGUCAUUGGAAACUGUUUUACUUGAGUACAGAAGAGGAGAGUGGAAUUCCAUGUGUAGCGGUGAAAUGCGCAGAGAUAUGGAGGAACACCAGUGGCGAAGGCGGCUCUCUGGUCUGUAACUGACGCUGAGGUGCGAAAGCGUGGGGAUCAAACAGGAUUAGAUACCCUGGUAGUCCAAGGGCGAAUUUCGCGGCCG
rnacentral:rRNA from 1 species